CCUCACCUGAGAUUUCCUCUCCGUGACCCUUCUUCCCCCUCUAGGGGUCCUGGGCUGCCCUGAGGCCACCGCCUAGCAAGAUCAAGAUAGGGCUUGAGCGGCAGUGGGAUAGGGCAGUGGGGGUUCCGGGGGGGUCCGGUGCAGGCAGAACCAAGAGUGUGCCGGCGGAGGGCUGUCGGUACAGGGUGCAGGGCGUGGCGGCUGCAGGACCUCAGCUUGCCUCUUUAAAUCCCUUCCUGGGCACCGCGGUGGCCCGGCCCUUUCCCCUCGUGCUGUUUCUGCUGGAAACGCCGCACAGUCUCCUCGGGGGCAGCCGCCAGCGGAAACGGUUAUUGGCCGCCAGGCAAGCCAGUCCCAUCCUUCCCAGCAACUGGGACUUUCCGGGCAGGGCUCCCCAGCGCGGGUUCAGCUAAUUAAGGAAGCAAUUAGCCUCCCCUGAGGCUAUUCAUGCUUCCUCACCCACAGUUCUCAGGUUCUGUGAGACCAGAGCCUCAGUCUCCCGUGAGCAGAGGGUGUGUGUGUGGCUGCCACUAUUCUGCAGACACGCUGGCUCCACCCCAGAGAGUUGCAGGGCCAGGAAAUCUGCAUUUAAACAGACCCUGGCUCUCACACUUCGGAAACUGCCCGAAGCACCUCUCAAAUAUGGGACAGGUGCUUAGGCCGAAAAUCAGGAAUCUCUUGAAUGAAUGCAUGAAGGUGGAGCCCUUUCCCUUAAUGCGCAGGUGAAAAGGGCACCUCGGUGGAUUCUACUAAAUUUAAUAGAAGACUUGAUGGAUUACAGAGGACUCCUGCUCCAGCUGUGGGGAACUCCAGCCCGCACUUUGCCUCCAGCCCGAUGGUGCAAGAUCCAGCUUCUCUUCAGCCUGGCAUCAAACGUCUUUUUGAUCAGCUUUUCAUCCAUUUUCUGAAAAUGUAGUGAUUGAGAGAUGUUCUGAAUCUUGCAGAAUUCUGUGUCGCACCCUGGCCACACAUCAAUGCAGGCCUGAACCUGACCCUGGGUGGACUCCCUGCUCUCUGCCAGCCCCUUUCUCACCCCUGGGUCCCCACGGCCCCUGGCUCUCUCCCCUCUGCUAGAAUCUCGCUGAGGGAUUGGUGGGGAGGGGGUGGUCACGCACUGGGUGGAGAUCUGGUGCCCCCUGGAGGCCGGACAGGAAGGGCCAGGGCGGACAAGGUCUUUGAGAACUCGGUGGCAUCCCGCUCCUGAUGGCCUGGGUCCCACCGCCCCUCCCCCAGCCUUCCUGACAGCAGAGGAGAUUGAUGGGGCGCUGCUCGAAUGUUCUUCAUCAGCGUCUUCAGUAAUAAGCUUCUCCAUUGGGUAACCGAUCCUAGUUUAGCAAAACCGUUUGUCAACCAUUUCCUCCCUUGAGCUUGAUAAGAACCCCGUGGGAGAGGAGAGAGGGGGGCCCCCCAGGAUCUGAAAAGCUGUGCCUCAGCCAAGUUCAUGAGUCACUGGCGAGGAGGCCUGUAGGUCAGCAAAGCCUAGGAGGUCAAGAGUGCCCACAUGGGGACCUACGGGCCUCAGGGCCGCAGGUUGCUGGGUUGGACCCUGGCUUGGAGCUCAGGAUAGAAACCCGGAAACCCCACAGGCAAAGAAGGAUGCAGAACAGAACAGGGCAGAACCAAGGACCCAGUGAGGGUGGCUGGCGUCAGAGCAAAUAUCAGAGUUCACAAGGUGAAAUAAUCCAAAAAUCUAUACAGAAAAAGCUAAUCAUUUUCUCCAAUCUCUCCCCCAAAGGUGUCUACUCCUGCAGGCUUACCUGUAACCUUUGUCACUCACUCUUCUGAUUCUGCAAACAUAUAAACCACGGAGCCACAGCCAAGAGAAUCUGGACUUGUUCGUUUUUCCUGAAAUAGGAUAUCUUAAAUAAUCCGUGGCUCAGCACUGCGCCCUUUUUUUUCUUUUCUUUUCUUUUUUUUUUUUUUUUUGAGACGGAGUCUCGCUCUGUUGCCCAGGCUGGAGUGCAAUGUCAUGAUCUUGGCUCACUGCAACCUCUGCCUCCUGGGUUCAAGCAACUCUCCUGCCUCAGCCUCCUGAGGAGCUGGGACUGCAGGUGCAAGACACCACGCCUGGCUAAUUUUUGUUAUUUUUAGUAGAGACAGUGUUUCACUAUGUUGGCCAGGCUGGUCUCGAACUCCUGACCUCAAAUGAUCUGCCUGCCUCGGCCUCCCAAAGUGCUGGGAUUACAGGCACAAGCCACAGCACCCAGCCUCACUGUGCCCUUUUCACUGGCAGGCAUUUUAUUGUCCCUACAGACCCAAGACGGGGUGGGGGAGACGUGCUUUGUGCUCACCUGGCUGGUUCAUGGGCAGGUGGCCUGGAGGACCCAGCCCUGGCAGCUGUGGGGUAGCUCCAGCCUGGGCCGGACAGCUUCUUUCAUCGCAGGCACCACUGCGGACAUUGCUGGGAGGAAGAGGAGGGAGAAGCGACGGGCUUCAUUAGGAACGGCUUUCGAUGGAUUGGACGAGGCGCGUCCACCCUGGGGAGGGCCAUCAUUUUAUUCAGUCUACUGAUGCAAAUGCUUAUCUCUUCUGGAAACACCUUCACAGACAGACCCAGAAUAUAGUUGAACCAAAUACUGGGCACCUCAUGGCUCCAACAGGUUGACACAAAAAAUGAACCAUUGCAGAAAACGAAGAACAGUCACCAACUCCCACCCAUGCAGCUGGCUCAUUUGCUGGGCUGCCCUCCCCAGCAGGUGGCACAGGAAUCCCUGCCUUGGCAGGGAGGAGGCCUGGGGUGUGUGCAGGUACCCAUGGGAAGUUUCUUUGCCAUGGGGAAAGCCAGAGUCACCCCUUGCUUGAACACAAGAGUUGGAGGUUUCAGUGAGCUGAGAUUACGCUAUUGCACUCCAGCCUGGGCGGCAGAGUGAGACUCUGUCUCUAGAUAAAUAAAUUAAAUAAAUAAAUAAAUAUAAUUUAAUAUAAAUAACUAGAAAUUUUUCAAUACUUGCAUCUCUGUAGGUUACCUCUGGAAGUGCAGGGCUUUGUCUUUUUGGAUUAACUCAGAAAUUAGACCUUCAGAAAACAACAUCAGCUCUGAUUCUCUGCACCCUUGAUGCUGCCGGUGGCGACUGCGGCUUCCUGAUGGAAAUGUAGACCUGAACAUAAGUCGCAGAAAAAUGCAGACUUGAGUUGGAGCUAAGCUGACUCAGAGCUGCCCUAGAAAGAGGCCCCGUGGCAAAGAACCAAAGGCACCCAGCAACACGAGUGAGGGUGGAAGUGGCUCUUUCCCCAUUCCAGCCUCGCGGUGACCGCAGCCCUGGCUGACACCUUGCUUGCAGCCUGGUGAGAGACAGCAGCCCGAGGACCCUGCUAAGCUGCACCCAGGCUCCUGACCCAUGGAAACUGUGAGAUGAUAAACAUGUACUGCUUAAGCUGAGAUUCGGGCUAAUUUGUUACACAGUCAUAGACAUCGUUUUUUGUUGUUGUUGUUUUUUGAGAUGGAGUCUCACUCUGUCGCCCAGGCUGGAGUGCAGUGGCACAAUCUCAGCUCACUGCAACAUCCACCUCCCAGGUUCAAGCGAUUCUCGUGCCUCAGCCUCCCAAGUAGCUGGGAUUACAGGCAUCUGCCACCAUGCCCGGCUAAUUUUUUUGUAUCUUUAGGAGAGACAGGGUUUCACCAUGUUGGCCAGCUGGUCUCAAACUCCUGAGCUCAAGAGAUCUGCCCACCUUGGCCUCCCAAAGUGCUGGGAUUACAGGCAUGAGCCACUGUGCCCGGCCUGUUACACAGUCAUAGACAUCUAUAAAAUACUCAACACGGUGCCGGCGCAUGGCAAGCAUCAGUUACUGACCACGGUGACCCUUCUGUGUACACCAGGGGAACUCAAAAUACUCAGGAAAUCUAAGCAUAUAAGCCUAGUCACCAGGCUGUCGACAUGACCCUUAACAAUGAACCUGUGUCUUUUGCCACCUCAUGAUGUCAUAGAAGAAGAGCAGCAUCAAUGUUAAGAGUCUGGAGGAGGGACUAGAUGCUGUGGCUCACACCUGUAAUCCCAGCACUUUGGGAGGCCGAGGCAGGUGGAUCACCU
rnacentral:lncRNA from 10 species